rnacentral:tRNA from 1 species
GGAGGGCUGCCCCGAACGGUGAAGGGACCGGUCUUGAAAACCGGCGCGGCUGCGGCCGCUUGUGGGUUCGAAUCCCACGCCCUCCG